AGCACAUUAUGUGCUGGCUAUGGUAAGUCCGACGUGCUCCCAUGCACUGCCCGCAAGGGCUCGGGAUUAC
rfam:Methanoculleus bourgensis MS2T complete genome